rnacentral:lncRNA from 1 species
UGUCAGCUGUCAGUACUGUUUCUCCGUCUGACUCUAUUGAGUCUGGACUUGUGUGUGUGUGUGUGUGUGUGUGUGUGUGUGUGUGUGUGCUGCCUCCAGCCCCCCGGCCCGGGGCCCUUCUGUCAGGGCGCCCUCUGCAGUGACCACGAGUUGCGUGCCGAGGACAGGUCAGCGGAGGAAUCGGCUGCUUCUGUGGUGGCCGUUUUUUCGCCGACAAGUCAACAGGUCAACGGGAGCUUUAGGCGAGGGGGCUGUGACCCCGACGACUCGGGACCGCCUGACAGGCCGCGGACGUCCCGCGCGACUCCAGACUUUCGACAGACGUGUGCCGACCUCAGACAGACGUGUGCCGACCAGGGACAGACGUGUGCCGACCAGAGACGGACGUGUGCCGACCAGGGAGACGCCGACCGAGCAGCGUGUGCCGACCAGAGACGGACGUGUGCCGACCAGAGCGGGCGUGUGCCGACCAGGGACAGCGUGUGCCGACCAGGGACGUGCCGACCAGAGACGGACGUGUGCCGACCAGAGACGGACGUGUGCCGACCAGAGACAGACGUGUGCCGACCAGAGACGGACGUGUGCCGACCAGAGACGGACGUGUGCCGACCAGAGACGGACGUGUGCCGACCAGAGACGGACGUGUGCCUGCGGCUCCUCCUCCAGCGGAAGGUCGGGGCCAGAAGACUGUGUGCGCGAAACGCAGAGUGACUUCCAGUGACCCGAGAGACUAAAGUGAAAAAGUGGCUCACCGCUCACCAGAACUCUCGGCUCCGGACCAACUGGAAAAAGAGUGAUUAUAUAUAUAUAUAUAUAUAUAUAUAUAUAUUCGACGAGUGGCAGCGAGAGCCCGGCCUCCUCUGACUCACUUAGUCGAUUCGCUGAGGAGGAUCAAUCCCAGGCGUGACUUAAGUGGACUCAGAUUAUGUGAUCGCAGGCUCCAAACACACGAUUGUGCAGUGAAACCAAAUUACGCACAGACCAACAUCUUGCGCGGUAAUAGGGUUUUCCAGGAACAGGCCAAAUGCACAUGUGAGAUUGGUUAGAGGGGAGGAAGAAAAAAUAACAGUAUAGUACGAUUCAGACUCCUUCAGCCCGGAUGGGUAAAAAAAAAGAAAAGGUGUGAAUUUAGUCAAUGCUACUAAUAUGCUAAUCAAACAAGCCCUAUAAUACUGUGAUGACAUCGGAAAAGCAUUCUGUUGUUAAGUGUGUUGGCUCCCACGGAAAUGUGCUGGUUAUUAUGGGAAAUCUGCCUCCCAGCAAUAUUUGGCCUGUCAGAGAAUUUUGAGCCCACAUUGGUUUUUUCAAAGGAUUGAAACUAUAACCAGUUGUUCUUGUUUUUUUGGGUUUUUUUAUUUAUAGUGAUCGACGAACAACAAGGCCACUGCUUAACCUCCCCCAUCAUCGUUGAUCUUCCUCUUCAGUGCCUCGGUGUUCACGUCAAGAUAUAUAUAGAUACAUAUAUAUAUAUAGAUAUAUAGAUAUCUAUAUAUAUAUAGAUAUAUAUAUUUGCCCAGUUAUUGAACCAUUUCCAUCAAUGGCGUCUUGGCGUGUCCAGCUCUGACCUCACGUGUCCAGGAAGUGUUUCAUUUGAGAGUCUGGGAUCCAUCAGUGUUACUCAGUUUCAUUCAGUGACGAAUGGAAAGAGUUGCGUAUUAGUCGGCAGUCGGCUCUUCCCGCUGAGGACGGGAUGGGAAAAGUUUUGUUUCAUGACACUGAAACCACAACACUUUCCUCACAUGCUCCAGAUAUUCCACAUCACCGAGCUGUGCGGUGAUUCACAAAAAAAAAAAAGGGCUAUUAAUGUUUAAAACCAAGGUCGAAAGGGUAUUUUUCCUUGAGUUCUUUAUCACACACACACACACACACACACACACACACACACACACACACACAAACACUGUGGGAUUUGCCACAUUAUAUAAAACAUAAAUUAAGGGGUAGAAAAACUGAACCAAAGCCACGAUAAUAAUAAAGCAAACCAAAAGACAUGUAAACUGUAUAAAAUAUUAAAAAAAUUAAAAAUUAAAAAACUGUAUAAAGAGUGAGGAAUGAGCUUUCUGAAUGAGCUUUCAAUAAAAAUGAGUUUAACAAGGUGUGUGUGUGUGUGUGUGUGUGUGUGUGUGUGUGCUGCAGACAUUAAGUUCAGUGGUGUUUAAAAUUUACUUGGCAAAUGUCCAGAUGGAGCUAAAUUCUGUGGAGAUGUACAGUAGGAAAUGGCACUAUGAUAGAGGCAGCAGCUCUUUCACUCAAUAACUAUAACGUCAUCUGCUCGAGCAGCCAUGACCAGCCACAGCAGGUCGGUCAAGCUUGGGUUCCC